GCCCGGUUGGCUCAGUCGGUAGAGCGUGUGACUCUUAAUAACGGUUAUCGAAUAGCCCUGUUAGGUGAUCUCAAGGUCGCGAGUUCGAGCCUCGCAUUGGGCU